AAUAGGCUUGUUAGAGAAUAACAUUUUUGUAUUAUAAAUUGAAUACAAGUUCAUAGUUUAAAAAAAGGUAAACAAAAGGGUUAUACAGUGAAUUUUCUACCCACCCCAUGUCUCCAAAUCAACCGUUGUUAGUCUCUUGUGAAUCCUUCUAGUAAAGCUAUAGCAUUGUUUGACCUGUAUGCAUGUAUAUGUAUAUUUAAAGACAGAAGAUGAGCAUACUGCUACCUUGCCUUUAAAAAAAAAUUAUUUUAUUUCUUUAUUUGGAUAUUGCCUUUUAAAAUUACUGUCUUGGAAAACUUUCCACAGCAGUACAUGUGGAUUUACCAAAUUAUUUUUAGUGACUGUAUAGAAUGAUAGAUAAUUAUUUAUUGACCAAGUUCCUUAUUAAGGACAUUUAGAUUGUUUCUAUCCUAUCAUUAGCAUAAACACAGCAAUGAACACCCCUCUGUGUAUGUCUAGUCUAUGUGUACAAUUAUAUCUGUAGGAUAAGAUAUUGUAGGUGGAAUUGCUAGAUUGAAGGGUGUGUGUCUUUUCAGUUUUGAUAGAGAUUGCCACAUUGUCCCCGAAAAAGUUCUAUUAAUUUUCCUCCCACCCAAGAGUUUAUAGGGGUUCUUUUUUCUCUGCAUUUCACCUCCUUAAUGAAAAAUGGCAACAUUUUCUUUUGAACAGUCUUGUCUUCAUGUAAAAUGUGACUAAGGUCUACUUUUUAAACAGCUAUCUCCACCUGAAUAUUACUCCCCUCAUAAGUCAUCACUUCAAGAGACUAUCCAUUUACCCUAACAGUGUCAUUGCUUAGAAUAUUUUUUAGAAUGCCUAUUCUAGAACUACAUUAAGGUGGUGUGAAUGUAAAAUUUAAAAAAAAUCUCUAUAGCGUUCAACUUUCUUUCCAUGAAAAGGAAUUUGAUAUAUAUAUUAUUUAAACAGCUGAAAGUCCAUUGAAUUAUGAGAGGGUUGAUUUGCUAGGGUUAUGUUAUUCUAGUGUAUGACGCUAACAACAACACAACCUGGCUUUUGUUACUAAUAAACAUAGCUGUGACGGCAGCUGCAGAAGAGAAACUAGUUGUUUGAAGCUAUUGCAGCAUAAUUGGAAUAAUUAUCAAUCAUCAGAGUCUACACAAAGGAAAUAUUCAUUUGGGAAGAGGCACCUUCCCGUGAAAAGUCUCUACUAAGGGCAUCCUCAUCUCUCAGCUUCGUAACUGAAGGGCUAUGCAGAACUACCUCAGAGGGGCUUGCAAUUUGGGUGAUGAAAUUGCUUUUAGCUAAAUAUAUUUUGUAAAUUUAAAAAAUAUUAAGCCUGCCUGUUCAGACCCAAACUUAAUGCCCAUUAGUGUUAUGUUGCCCUUCUACCUCCAGAAUACCCUAAAACCUCAUUUUUCAAAUGAUUUUUGUGUAGAUUUACUUUGCACACCAUCCCUGAUUCCAAAACCUUCAGCACAGAUGGAAGCUCUGUUCUACAAAGAAAAAUGACAUCUUUCCUUGGGGAAGAAUAUGUCCCUUCCUACUUGUCACUGCUGCCAUGUUAGAAGUGUCUUUCACCUCCUGCCAUGAUUCUGAGGCCUCUCCAGUCAUGUGGCACUAACAGCUUAUUGAGGUGUACAUACUGCUAUGGACUGAAUUGUGUCCUCCAGAGUCCAUUUGUUAACGUCUUAGCUCCCAGCAUCUCAGGAUGUCAGCGCACUUGGAGACAGAGCCUUUAAAGAGGCAAUUAAGUUAAAAUGAAGCCAUUUGGUAGGCCUUAUCCCAGUAAGACUGGUGUCUUGAUAAGAGGAGGAAAAGAGGAGAAUCACGCAGAGGGUCACAACCAGGAGUGCAGCACAGAGAAAAGGCCACGUGAGGACACAGCAAGAAGGCGGCCAUCUGCAUGCCAAGGAGAGAGACUUCAGGAGAAACCAAACCGGCUCGCACCUUGAUCCUGGACUUCCAGCCUCCAGAACCAGAGAAAAUACGUGUCUAUGGUCUAGCCACCUAGUCUGUGCUAUUUUGUUAUGGCAGCCCAAGCAAAUGAAUACAGAUUUUUUUCAAUUUACUCAUUGUAAGUGUACAGUUCAAUAGUAUUUAGUAAAUUUAUUGCACAACCAUCACCACGAUCUAGCUUUAAAAAGUUCCAUUGAGCUGGCUGGUCUGCAGUCAAUCCAUUCCCACUCCCAGCUCUAGGCAACCACUGAUCUGCUCUGUGUCUCCACAGAUUUUCCCUUUCUAGAAAUUUCAUACAGAUGGACUGAUACAAUAUAUGGUCUUUUGGGUCUGACUUCUUUUAUUUAGCAUAAUUUUUUUUCAGGUUUAUCCAUAUUGCAGCUUGUAUCAGUCAUUUGUUCCUUUUUACUGCCGAAAAGUAUUUCAUUGUGUGGGAUGAAUUACAUUUUUUGCAUUCCUCACUAGUUGAUGUACAUGUGAAUUGUUUCCAGUUUGGGGCUACUAUGAAUUAUGCCCUAAGAGCUUCUGUAUAUAUGUCUUUGUGUGAAAAUCAUUCUCUUUGCAGAUUCUAUUUUCAUUUAGAUUAGAUUAUACAUGUUUUUAAUUAUUUUUAAAUGAAUUUUUAAAUUACAAAAUAUAAUCAGAAAGAAAUGCCAGCAUCCUGGGAAUAGGGAUGUUGUUUUGUUCACUGCUGUGUUUCCAGUCCCUAAGUGUCUGGCUGAAAAAAAAAACAAACAAACUGUGGAAUAAAUGUAUGUAACACACCAAGUAACUGUAUUCAGAGUCUCACUCUAUCAUCCAAGCUGGAGUGUAGUGGCACUAUCAGGGCUCACUGCUG